UAUGCUUGUCUCAAAGCUUAAGCCAUGCAAGUCUCAGUACAAACUGUAUUAAAGUGAAACCGCAAAAGGCUCAGUAAACCAGUCAUGAUUCACUUGAGUAAACAUGACUGUCUUUGGAUAACUGUGGUAAUCCUAGAGCUAAUACAUGCAAUCAAGUCCCGACCAAUCUGAUUGGGAAGGACGCUUUUAUUAGAUCAAGACCAAUCGCCCGACUUCGGUCGGGCAGUUUCCUUGGCGACUCUAGGUAACACAUCAGAUCGCAUGGUCUCGCACCGGCGACUUAUCUUUCAAAUGCCUGACUUAUCAACUGUCGAUGGUAGACUCUAUGUCUACCAUGGUUGUAACGGGUAACGGGGAAUCAGGGUUCGAUUCCGGAGAGGGAGCCUGAGAAACGGCUACCACAUCCAAGGAAGGCAGCAGGCACGCAAAUUACCCACUCCCGGCACGGGGAGGUAGUGACAAAAAAUAACGAUACGGGACUCAUAUGAGGCCCCGUAAUCGGAAUGAGUACACUUUAAAUCCUUUAACAAGGAUCCAUUGGAGGGCAAGUCUGGUGCCAGCAGCCGCGGUAAUUCCAGCUCCAAUAGCGUAUAUUAAAGUUGUUGCGGUUAAAAAGCUCGUAGUUGGUUCUGCGUGCUACGCUGUCGGUUCGCCGCCUGCCGGUGUAACUGGCAUGCCGUGGCAUGUCCUGUCGGUGGCGUUCGGGUGCCUUGUCUAGGUGAGACCUCCGUUUCGUAAGGGACGGGUGGUUAUUCAACCGGAGGUUUCCCCGUUCGCCUACUCUAUCCUACCUAGGUGCUCUUCACCGAGUGUCGAGGUAGGCCGACACGUUUACUUUGAACAAAUUAGAGUGCUCAAAGCAGGCUGAAAUUUCUGCCUGAAUAGUGGUGCAUGGAAUAAUAAAACAGGACCUCGGUUCUAUUUUGUUGGUUCUUAGGAACACGAGGUAAUGAUCAAUACGGACAGGCGGGGGCAUUCGUAUUGCGACGUUAGACUUGGCAAAUGCUUUCGCGGUGAAAUUCUUGGAUCGUCGCAAGACGCACAAGAGCGAAAGCAUUUGCCAAGUAUGUCUUGAUUGAUCAAGAACGAAAGUUAGAGGUUCGAAGGCGAUCAGAUACCGCCCUAGUUCUAACCAUAAACGAUGCCAGCCAGCGAUCCGCCGAUGUUCCUCCGAUGACUCGGCGGGGAGCUUUUUCCCGGGAAACCAAAGCUUUUGGGUUCCGGGGGAAGGUAUGGUUGCAAAGGCUGAAACUUAAAGGAAUUGACGGAAGGGCACCACCAGGAGUGGAGCCUGCGGCUUAAUUUGACUCAACACGGGAAACCUCACCAGGCCAGGACAUUGGAAGGAUUGACAGAUUGAUAGCUCUUUCUUGAUUCAGUGGGUAGUGGUGCAUGGCCGUUCUUAGUUGGUGGAUCGAUUUGUCUGGUUAAUUCCGAUAACGAACGAGACUCUAGCUUAUUAACUAGGCGUUUUCCGGUGCCCUCGUCACCGGCGACACUCAUUCUUCUUAAGGGGACAAGCGGCUUAUAGCCGCACGAGAUUGAGCAAUAACAGGUCUGUGAUGCCCUUAGAUGUCCUGGGCCGCACGCGCGCUACACUGAAAGAAUCAGCGUGUGCCUCCCUGGCCGAAAGGCCCGGGUAAUCCGCUGAACCUCUUGCGUGCUAGGAAUUGGGGCUUGCAAUUGUUCCCCAUGAACGAGGAAUUCCCAGUAAGCGCGAGUCAUAAGCUCGCGUUGAUUACGUCCCUGCCCUUUGUACACACCGCCCGUCGCUACUACCGAUUGAAUGAUUUAGUGAGGUCUUCGGACUGGCGGUAAUCCCUACCGACUUGUCGAUAUCGAUGAACGCUGGAAAGAUGACCAAACUUGAUCAUUUAGAGGAAGUAAAAGUCGUAACAAGGUUUCC
rnacentral:rRNA from 1 species